CUGUGAUACCUCAAUGCUUGAUCAGAGAACCAAGGCAAAGCUACUAAGCGGCUAAUGGCAAUCCAGGCUGAAUGCAGACAGCACCAGGCUCCAUCAUGCUGCUAAGACCGACGCCAUUUAGAACAUAUGCAUGUUUAUUUCUGGAAUUGUUUAUUCAUGUCACAAUGCCUGCAUCAUUCAUCUCAUUUCAUCUCAUCACACGGGCAUCGUAUCAUCUCACAUCAUCACAAGGAGAAGGUUUUUGCCAUAAAAAA
rnacentral:lncRNA from 10 species